UGCUGAAUACAACAGGUGUAGUAGACCUCACAGUGAAAUGCUGAAUACAACAGGUGUAGUAGACCUUACAGUGAAAUGCUGAAUACAACAGGUGUAGUAGACCUUACAGUGAAAUGCUGAAUACUACAGGUGUAGUAGACCUUACAGUGAAAUGCUGAAUAGAACAGGUGUAGUAGACCUUACAGUGAAAUGCUGAAUACAACAGGUGUAGUAGACCUCACAGUGAAAUGCUGAAUACAACAGGUGUAGUAGACCUUACAGUGAAAUGCUGAAUACAACAGGUGUAGUAGACCUUACAGUGAAAUGCUGAAUACAACAGGUGUAGUAGACCUUACAGUGAAACGCUGAAUACAACAGGUGUAGUAGACCUCACAGUGAAAUGCUGAAUACAACAGGUGUAGUAGACCUCACAGUGAAAUGCUGAAUACAACAGGUGUAGUAGACCUUACAGUGAAAUGCUGAAUACAACAGGUGUAGUAGACCUUACAGUGAAAUGCUGAAUACAACAGGUGUAGUAGACCUCACAGUGAAAUGCUGAAUACAACAGGUGUAGUAGACCUCACAGUGAAAUGCUGAAUACAACAGGUGUAGUAGACCUCACAGUGAAAUGCUGAAUACAACAGGUGUAGCAGACCUUACAGUGAAAUGCUGAAUACAACAGGUGUAGUAGACCUCACAGUGAAAUGCUGAAUACAACAGGUGUAGUAGACCUCACAGUGAAAUGCUGAAUACAACAGGUGUAGUAGACCUUACAGUGAAAUGCUGAAUACAACAGGUGUAGCAGACCUUACAGUGAAAUGCUGAAUACAACAGGUGUAGUAGACCUUACAGUGAAAUGCUGAAUACAACAG